AGUGAACGCUGGCGGUAGGCCUAACACAUGCAAGUCGAACGGCAGCACAGUAAGAGCUUGCGCUUACGGGUGGCGAGUGGCGGACGGGUGAGGAAUACAUCGGAAUCUACUUUUUCGUGGGGGCUAACGUAGGGAAACUUACGCUAAUACCGCAUACGACCUACGGGGGAAAGCAGGGGAUCUUCGGACCUUGCGCGAUUGAAUGAGCCGAUGUCGGAUUCGCUAGUUGGCGGGGUAAAGGCCCACCAAGGCGACGAUCCGUAGCUGGUCUGAGAGGAUGAUCCGCCACACUGGAACUGAGACACGGUCCAGACUCCUACGGGAGGCAGCAGUGGGGAAUAUUGGACGAUGGGCGCGAGCCUGAUCCAGCCAUACCGCGUGGGUGAAGAAGGCCUUCGGGUUGUAGAGCCCUGUUGUUGGUAGAGAAAAGCAGCAGGUUAAUACCCCGCUGUUCUGACGGUACCCGAAGAAUAAGCACCGGCUAACUUCGUG
rnacentral:rRNA from 1 species